UUUUGUGUGGCAUAUGAUUAGUAAAUUAGCCACAACUCUGGAAUGACAGAGAUGGUCAGUAAUCAAGAUAAGACUUGGAAAGGAACGUUAAAGGAAAUUUUUGAACAAUCUUAACCUUAAGAGGUUGAACCAGUGAAUAAAGAGAUUGGUUAAGACCAUAAGAACGUGUGUCAAAUGUCACUAUUCAUUGGAAUGCUUUAAUGGAAUUUGUAUGGAAAUAUAUAUAGCAGUAAAAAAUGAUUGGUUGUCAAUUUAGCCAUAGUCAAUGGUGGAAUAAAAUGCUUGAAUGUUAGAGAAUUGAUCAAAAUCAAGGUGGAGGAAUUGUGGGUGGUUAUGCAAACAUGCAUGACUAACGAUAUAAGGUUAAUUUGAUUAAGGUGUAACUAGAAGUGAUGAUAUAUUUGAAAUCUCCGUAUAAGAAGAAAAAUAAUAAUGAUCUUAUUUAAGAAAUGUAUUACACAUAAUUGUAUGUAUUAUGACAUUGUGAGUUUUCUAUAAAGAUUGGAAGUCAAUAAAAUGAGUAUAUCAAAAUCUUAUGUUAAGAAUGCCCAACGGAAGUGAUGUGGAAAAAUUUUAGAAUUUUAAUUAUUCACUCUAUGUUGAUUUAAAUUCGAGGAUGAAUUUGUCUUAAGUGGAGGAGAUUGUAGCACCUCGUACCCCCGUUUAGAAGUUAAUAAGACUCUAUUAAUGAGAAGAAGGGUCGUUUGACAUAAAUCUAAGCGUUAGAGAACAGUAACAAGUAAAAAGAAUAUUUUGAAAUAAAGUAUUUUAUGAAUAAAAUAUUAUUAAAAUAUUAAUAUUUUAUUUAUUAGUGAGAUUAGUUAAAAGAGAGGGUUAUAUGAUUAAUCUAUGUGGGGGAGAAGAAGAAAAGAAAAAUUCGGAAGAAAAAUUCGGAAGAAAAAUGAGUUAAAGGGAAUCGCGUGUUUUUAUUAAAUAGAGCACAAGUGGGUACGUAUAUAUUUAAAUAUUUAGGUGACACGAUGAUGGGGUGUAAACUUUAUAUUAUAUUUAUACACAUGUGAAGGAAGGAAAUAGAAGAAAAUUGGAAUUUAAGAAGUGAUGCGAGGACUUAAUAAAAAGGAUGAGAACUUAGGAGGCUUACAAAGAAAGCUUUGACUUUUGUUUUUCUUUUUCUCUCUCUCUAUGGCCGGCCACCCAUAUCAGAGCUUGUGAAAAUUUGGUACAAAGAAAGAAAGGAAAGGUUGGGAGCAAGAAAAAGGGGAAAGAGACAAGAAAUUUUCCCAUUUGUUCACUAAAUAAAGAGCUUUGAAUUUUCUCUUGCCUUUUCUUUCCAUUUCAUUCUACAUAGCCGGCCAAAUGGUAUAACCUUUGUUAUUUUUUUUCUUCUUAUUCUAUUAAGAUACUAGAACCUUCAUCCUUCAUUCUUUAAUAAUUUUUUUUUUGUUUCUUUUCUUUCCACCGUCACUUUUCUUCCUUGUGCAUUUUUUCUUCCAACCGUGGCUUUCCUCCAUAGACAAUCGUGCCUCAAGUCUUUCCUCAACUCUUCUUCCAUGCUUCUUUCUUUUCUCCUUCCCCUCAUGAAUUGUCUUCCCUUUUGCCUCCCCCAUAAUCGAACCUAAGAAGGAUUUCGUGGUUUGGCUUAAAAUUACAAGGCUGGUUGUCACUCCGGUUAAGUGUGAACCUUGUGCAAGUAAGCUCUAGCUAGAGAACCUUUGGGACGUCGACGAGCUGUUAGACAUGGUUGGGGCCAAAGUCUAUGAUUUUAUGUGACUAGGCCACAAGUUGUUAUACGCGGUUGUGAUCACCUAAUUUUCUCCGAUGUUGGUCAACAUCGUUGAGACUGCCAAGGCAUGUGGGGGUCCAUGGAGCGGAGUGCCCAGAUGUUAUUACGUGGAAGCAGAUAAGUAAUUAGUUUUAGUGCUUUGUUCAGCAUCUUGAGGCUAUUUGCAACCUAGGUAAUGGCAUAUCUAGACUUCCACUUAUAGUCGCUCUGCUGCCUAGAGGUCGGUUUGUGUCAAAUAGUCAGGCUUGUAAUGAUUAAUAGUUACUGGAAAUGUACUGGUUAAAACUUAAGGUUAUGUAAUGACUACUACUUAUAGUGUUGAAAUUGUGUGGAAUUAUCAAAUCUGGUUGUUUGUAUUUAGAAGCCACGUUUAAAUGUUGUGAAUAUUUGGUUUAAAUGAACUAUGGUGUUAAAAAUUGUAAGUUGAGUUUAAAUUGUGUGAAGGCUUAACUAAGGCUUGUUCGGGAUUUGGCGGGUUUAUUCGUAAGUCUCGAAUGCCGGUAUCGAUCGAAGGAAGAAGUCGUUAUAAAGAUGAAUCCCACCACUGUAACUCUUCAAUUGACAGAUAAAACUCUCAUAUAUCCAAGAGGCAUAGUGGAAGAUGUGCUUAUGAAAGUGGAUAAAUUCAUAUUCCCAGCUGAUUUUAUAAUUCUUGAUAUGGAGGAAGAUAGAAAGGUUUCUAUUAUCCUUGGGCGACCUUUUUUAUGCAUAGCCAGAGCACUCAUUGAUAUUGGAAAGGGAGAACUUACCUCGUGAGUACCAGAUCAAGAGGUAACAUUUAAUAUCUUUCAUGCUUUAAAGUUUACUAAUGAUCAUGAUGAGUGUUUUGCAGUUAGUGUGGUAGAUAAGGCCACUAGUGAAGCCUUCAUGGAAAAUCAUCCUAAUCACCUAUUUGAAGCAUCAUUGACUUCUAAAUCUAAGACCAGUAAUGAAGAAAUCAUAAAUUGUGUUAAUGCGUUGAAUGGCCCAUCUCUGGUAUUGGGAACUUAGUUUGAAUUGUUAGAUUUGUCUUCAUCUUCAUCCUCUCUAGUGAAACUUUUAGUUGAGGAUCACCCUAAGUUAAAACUCAAACCAUUUCCAAAACAUUUGAGGUAUGCAUAUCUUGGAAACUCAUCUACUCUUCCAAUUACUGUUGCAUCUGAUCUUAAUAAUAAGCAGGAAAAAAAGUUGCUUAGAGUUUUGAGAGAGCACAAAAAAGGCAUUGGGGUGGUCAAUAGCUAAUAUCAAGGGGGUAAGUCCUUCAAUAUGUGUGCAUAAAAUUUUGUUAGAGGAUAAUCACAGAGCCAUUAUUAAGCAUCGGACGAGAUUGAAUCUAAUUAUGAAAUAAGUAGUCAGGAAAGAAGUAAUCAAGUGGAUAAAAGCGGGCAUCGUUUAUCUUAUUUUAGAUUAUGAAUGGGUAAGCUUGGUGUAAUGCGUACCAAAGAAUGGUGGGAUGACAAUGGUAGCUAACGAAAACAAUGAGCUCAUUCCCACAAGGAUAGUCAUUAGAUGGAAAGUAUGCAUGGAUUACAAAAAGUUAAACAAGAUCACAAGGAAAUAUCAUUUUCCUUUACCUUUCAUUGACUAAAUGUUGGAUAGGUUAGCUAGAAGAGAGUAUUACUAUUUUGUGGAUGGAUACUUAGGCUGAAAUCAGAUUGUCAUAGCACCAAAAACGCAAGAGAAAACAACUAUCACAUGUCUUUAUGGUACUUUUGCAUUUAGAAGGAUGCCAUUAGGAAUGUGUAAUCCUUUGGUCAGAUUUCAACGGUGCAUGAUGUUUAUCUUCUCGGAUAUGGUGGAGAAAACCAUAGAGGUAUAUAUGGAUGAUUUCUUAGUCUUUGGCAAUAAUUUUGAUGAAUGUUUUCUCAAUCUUGAUAAGGUAUUGCAAAGAUGUGAGGAGACAAACCUAGCUUUAAAUUGAGAGAAAUGCCACUUUAUGGUACAAGAAGGCAUUGUCCUUGGUCACAAGGUGUCAAGCAAAGGAUUAGAAGUCGACAAAGCUAAGAUUGAGACCAUUGAAAAACUUCCACCACCAACCUUGGUAAAAAGUAUUUGGAGUUUCCUUGGACAUGUCAAUUUUUAUUGGCGAUUCAUUAAGGACUUUUCCAAAAUUGCCAAACCUUUGUGCAAUCGUUUAGAAAAAGACAUCCCAUUUAAAUUUGAUGAUGCAUGUCAUGUUGCAUUUAUAGAACUGAAAAAAAAAGUUGACAAUUACACCCAUUAUUGUAGUUCUUGAUUGGUCACUCCUAUUUGAACUUGUAUGUGAUGCUAGUGACAAUGCUGUUGAUGUAGUGUUCGGACAAAGAAAGAAUAAAAUUUUUCAUUCUAUAUACUAUGCAAAUAAAACCUUAGUUGAAACUUAGAUGCAAUACACUACCACUACGAAAGAUAUAUUAGCUAUUGUGUACGCAUUUGACAAAUUUCGCUCAUAUUUGAUUGCACUAAAGUUAUUGUUUAUACUGACCACUUUGCAAUUAAGUAUUUGAUUGGUAAAAAAAAUGCUAGGCCAAGGUUUAUAAGAUGGGUUCUGCCACUAUAAGAAUUUGAUUUAGAAAUCAGAGAUAGAAGAGAUUUAGAAAAUCAAGUAGCCGACCAUUUGUCAAGGUUGGAGCAUGACAACCAAGGUACAGAUGUGACUUUGAUCAAUGAAACUUUCCCUGAUGAACAAUUGUUACAUGUCGGUCAUAAGAACUUGCCAUGGUAUGCCAGCUAUGUCAACUUCAUUGUGAGUAAGCUUCUACAUUUAAAUUUAACUUGUCAACAAAAAAAGAAAUUUUUGCAUGAUGUUAAAUAUUAUUUAUGAGAUGAACCAUUUUUGUUUAAGCAAUGUGCUGAUAGAUUUAUAAGAAUAUGUAUUCUAGAGGAAGAAGUUGAAAAUGUGUUGAGACAUUGUCUCUCAUAUGAAAAUGGGGGUCAUUUUGAAGGAGAUAGAACAACAUCUAAAGUUCUUCAAUUAGUUUUGUACUGGCCAACAUUAUUCAAAAACGCUCAUAACUUUAUGUUGUAUUGUGAUAGAUGUCAAAGAGUGGGAAACAUUUCCAAAAGACAUGAAAUGCCGCUUAACAACAUUUUGGAUAUGGAGAUUUUCGAUGUUUAGGGAAUC